UUGGCAGCAGACCUAGCUUUCUUGGGGUGGC
rnacentral:piRNA from 1 species